AAUAAUCGACGAACCUGAGUUGGAAUCGACAAAGCAAGUGAGGGUGAAUCUUUGGAAUAUUUUGAUGAAUGAAUGCACAAGCUCAUGCUGCAAAGCGCAAAAUACGUUUUUGUUGUGGUGUUUGUGAGUCUUCCUGAAUAGCGGAAAGAGAUUCAUCAACCAUAAAGUUGAAAGGACAAGGGAGAAGCUAGAAAACCAACUACGUACUCGCACAGAGCUUUGGGUUUCCACCACAUCACAGCGCUUUCAGUCAUCGUGUGGAAAUCUACACCCACGGUUCCUGUUCGUGAAAGAGAGGAGAAUGGAUCCGCUUUAUUUCCUCUUCUUUAAUCCAAGAGCACAGGAAUUGGCGAAAAGCAGGACCCACUUCCGGAACAUGAAUGGACUCUCCAACGACUUGAACCAAAACUGCUGGAUCUAUAUCCUCAAACAGACACCUGAUGAGGAACUUUGCGGAUGUCCUCAAGAUAGCGUGAAUUUGCUAAGAAAAGUUCGGUUUAACUUCCAUGUAAGGAAUGUCUCCCAAGGUUACUGUUCCUACAUGUAGAAGCCUUGAAGCUUUGGCUUUCGUCACUUUUAAUAUUGUGGACGGACGAUAAGUAGAGCAAAUACAGAGCUCGGAUUUUAGCAAACACCGCUGUAGAUUCGGAUAUUCGAGAGUUUCGUAGAAGCAGACAGGAAAGAUAGAGGGAAGUUGUUAGUUUGUUAUUGACCCGCUAGGUGGGAGUGCGCUAUUUGUCCAGGUUGCUGUACUCCCGAGCAUGGGCACGAUGCUGCCGUCGAUUGAAUGGAAUUACAAUGCUUGAGUACGUGCCGUUACAGUAUGACCCACACUGUUCCUGUGAUCUGGAAGCACCGUGCAGUUGGGUUCGGCUUCUAGAAUGUAUCCUCCUUAACGACUAGUAGCAAACAGGAAAUCUGUGUCGAAGCCAUCGCAAGUCGCAGGUGCGAAAUCGGUGGUUUUCUCAGGUUUCCGAGCUGCCAGCCAUCCUAGAAAUAAGCCAAAUUAAUCGCUUUCUGUAAUCGUUUCCGAUAACUCUCAUCUCUUUAAUGGCAGGUUUGAAUUGGGAUACCGUUGCGGUUGCUGCACGACAUGCCAAAUAAACCUUCCUGAUGUGUAGUGAAUAGAAAACGAGAUCGGAUGUUUCGGACCUGCUUGAAGGCUUGCUGCCCUUUAAUUAAAGAUUCCUGAUAACCCCCCAUUCUGAUGUUGCUUGGAUGCACCAGAUAAUCAUGGCACCAAGGCACGUCAAUGACCAAAAAAAUCAGGAGUCGAUGCGGUGCUCCGUUUGCCCUGUGUGCCAAGCCCACAUCAGUUUAUGUAUCGCGAAGUUCAUAAGUUGGUGGUAGAUUUUGUGUGCCCCUGCUUAGAUUGUUGACUUGGUCACCUAAUCUCACCACCGGUGUCUGUCUGUCUGUCUGUGCCGUGUACGUUUUACAGGACUUCCGUGGCAACCGCGGCGUUCUUAUCACUGGUCGAUGUUACGGUCUAACAGGGGUUUUCGAUCCAUUGAUUACGUGUGUUGGGCUGAUGUGUCGCCAUUAUCCAGCAAAGUCCUGGGGUUUAACUCUCACGAGUGACUUUAAAUGAAACUGUAAGUCAAUAUUUUAAGAGUCAAAUUCUGAGAAACACAUGGACUCCGCCGCAAUCCCUCCCUAUGAUGGGCUACUUCCUGAAAUCAUGGUAGCACAUGCUAAUAGCCUUAUGAAUAUUUAUCAAUAACCCGCCCCACGCCCAAGCUCGUUUUCUCAAAUCUUCCUGAAACAUCGGCCUUUGUCAGUGUAUGAAUUUCAGACUUAUGCCCUUGUGAAGGAGGCACUGCAACUCACUCCGCCGUCAUUUUGUGUCGAAUACUGCGUGAGAUACAUGGGUCUUCGUUGGUGCACUAGCAACGCUGGAACCCGUGACUGAAUUCGGCAGGUCUUCGUUAGACCAUUCUAGGUUUCAGAAUCAAAAUGUUUGCGUACCUUCUCGACUCCGUGAUGGGCCUUCGGUAACCGCCUGAAAGGAGAGUUGAGUGCACCAGCUUUAGGAGGCAGUUGCAGGCGGCUUCCAGCCAGCAAAACCUCCACAAACAAUGCUGUAGCUCCAGCGGUGCACAAUCUCUAUCGGUGACAAUCUGUGCAAGGCCACAAAAUCAAUCUACACAAGCAUGUAUCGAUUGAGGUUUACACAGCAGAUCUUGCAGAAAUGUUUUUGGGAAUAUGUUUAUUAUCGUCUGUGUAGAUACUUUCUAAAAUUCCCCUCCUGAGAAGUAAAAUAAGUCCAGCUAAGAGAAUCAAGAGUCACAUCAGUCAAAUUAUUUAUAUCACCUUCAUGUUCAUGACAAAAUCAAGAUCAUAUCAAACCCAUUGUCAUACAUUAAAUGAGAAUUUAAGUCCACAAGCUCCUUCACAUUA